rnacentral:rRNA from 1 species
AGAGUUUGAUCAUGGCUCAGAACGUACGCUGGCGGCACGCCUAACACAUGCAAGUCGAACGAAGUAGCAAUACUUAGUGGCAGACGGGUGAGUAACAUGUAGGUAUCUACCCUUUGGCCUGGAAUAACACGAGGAAACUUGUGCUAAUACCGGAUAAGUCUUUACGGAGAAAGCCUUAUGCACCAUUGGAUGAGCCUGCACUUGAUUAGUUUGUUGGCGGGGUAAUGGCCUACCAAGACUGUGAUCAAUAGCUGAUUUGAGAGGAUGAUCAGCCACAUUGGGACUGAGACACGGCCCAAACUCCUACGGGAGGCAGCAGUGGGGAAUCUUGCACAAUGGAGGAAACUCUGAUGCAGCGAUGCCGCGUGAGUGAAGAAGGCCUUUGGGUUGUAAAGCUCUUUCGUCGGGGAAGAAAAUGACUGUACCCGAAUAAGAAGGUCCGGCUAACUUCGUGCCAGCAGCCGCGGUAAUACGAAGGGACCUAGCGUAGUUCGGAAUUACUGGGCUUAAAGAGUUCGUAGGUGGUUGAAAAAGUUAGUGGUGAAAUCCCAGAGCUUAACUCUGGAACUGCCAUUAAAACUUUUCAGCUAGAGUAUGAUAGAGGAAAGCAGAAUUUCUAGUGUAGAGGUGAAAUUCGUAGAUAUUAGAAAGAAUACCAAUUGCGAAGGCAGCUUUCUGGAUCAUUACUGACACUGAGGAACGAAAGCAUGGGUAGCGAAGAGGAUUAGAUACCCUCGUAGUCCAUGCCGUAAACGAUGUGUGUUAGACGUUGGAAAUUUAUUUUCAGUGUCGCAGCGAAAGCGAUAAACACACCGCCUGGGGAGUACGACCGCAAGGUUAAAACUCAAAUGAAUUGACGGGGACCCGCACAAGUAGUGGAGCAUGUGGUUUAAUUCGAAGAUACGCGCAGAACCUUACCAACACUUGACAUGUUCGUCGCGACUCUAAGAGAUUAGAGUUUUCGGUUCGGCCGGACGAAACACAGGUGCUGCAUGGCUGUCGUCAGCUCGUGUCGUGAGAUGUUGGGUUAAGUCCCGCAACGAGCGCAACCCUCACUUUUAGUUGCCAUCAUUAAGUUGGGCACUCUGAAAGAACUGCCAGUGAUAAGCUGGAGGAAGGUGGGGAUGACGUCAAGUCCUCAUGGCCCUUACGUGUUGGGCUACACACGUGCUACAAUGGUAUCUACAACAGGAGGCAAGACUGCGAGGUCAAGCAAAUCCUUAGAAGAUACCUCAGUUCGGAUUGCACUCUGCAACUCGAGUGCAUGAAGCUGGAAUUACUAGUAAUCGUGGAUCAGCGUGCCACGGUGAAUGCGUUCCCGGGUCUUGUACACACCGCUCGUCACACCAUGGGAGUUGGUUCUACCUUAAGGCAAGGUUUAAAACCCUUGACCACGGUAUAGUCAGCGACUGGGGUGAAGUCGUAACAAGGUAGCCAAGGG